rnacentral:piRNA from 1 species
UUCUUGCAGAUAUUUGAAAAU